UGGAGAGUUUGAUCCUGGCUCAGGACGAACGCUGGCGGCGUGCUUAACACAUGCAAGUCGAACGAUGAAGCCCAGCUUGCUGGGUGGAUUAGUGGCGAACGGGUGAGUAACACGUGAGUAACCUGCCCUUGACUUCGGGAUAACUCCGGGAAACCGGGGCUAAUACCGGAUAUGAGCUACCUUCGCAUGGGGGUGGUUGGAAAGUUUUUCGGUCAGGGAUGGGCUCGCGGCCUAUCAGCUUGUUGGUGGGGUGAUGGCCUACCAAGGCGACGACGGGUAGCCGGCCUGAGAGGGCGACCGGCCACACUGGGACUGAGACACGGCCCAGACUCCUACGGGAGGCAGCAGUGGGGAAUAUUGCACAAUGGGCGCAAGCCUGAUGCAGCGACGCCGCGUGAGGGAUGAAGGCCUUCGGGUUGUAAACCUCUUUCAGCAGGGAAGAAGCGCAAGUGACGGUACCUGCAGAAGAAGCGCCGGCUAACUACGUGCCAGCAGCCGCGGUA
rnacentral:rRNA from 1 species